rnacentral:rRNA from 1 species
GCGCUCUAAGAUAGACCUGCGCCCGAUUAGUUAGUUGGCGAGGUAAAAGCUCACCAAGACUAUGAUCGGUAGCCGGCCUGAGAGGGUGAUCGGCCACACUGGGACUGAGAUACGGCCCAGACUCCUACGGGAGGCAGCAGUGAGGAAUAUUGGUCAAUGGGCGAAAGCCUGAACCAGCAACGCCGCGUGAGGGAUGAAGGUCUAAGGAUCGUAAACCUCUGUUAGAGGGGACGAAUGGUCUCGAAUUGGCGAGACUUGACGGUACCCUCAGAGAAAGCCCCGGCUAACUCCGUGCCAGCAGCCGCGGUAAUACGGGGGGGGCUAGCGUUGUUCGGAAUUAUUGGGCGUAAAGGGCGCGCAGGCGGUAAUAUAAGUCAGACGUGAAAUCCCUCAGCUUAACUGAGGAACUGCGUUUGAAACUGUAUUGCUUGAGUACAGGAGAGGAGAGUGGAAUUCCCAGUGUAGCGGUGAAAUGCGUAGAUAUUGGGAGGAACACCGGUGGCGAAGGCGGCUCUCUGGACUGUUACUGACGCUGAGGCGCGAAAGCAUGGGGAGCAAACGGGAUUAGAUACCCCGGUAGUCCAUGCCGUAAACGAUGGGCACUAGGUGUAGAGGGUUUCAACCCCUUCUGUGCCGUAGCUAACGCAUUAAGUGCCCCGCCUGAGGAGUACGGCCGCAAGGCUAAAACUCAAAGGAAUUGACGGGGGCCCGCACAAGCGGUGGAGCAUGUGGUUCAAUUCGACGCAACGCGAAGAACCUUACCUGGGUUUGACAUCUCCCUCAUCCUCUAUAAAUAGAAGGAGUGCCCUGUUAAGGGGAAGUGGGAAGACAGGUGCUGCAUGGCUGUCGUCAGCUCCAGAAAGGUGGGGGAUUGACGUCCAAGUCCCUCAUGGCCUUUUAAUUCCAAGGCCUACCACACUGGCCUACAAUGGGCUGAUUGCCAAAGGGUCCCAAAACUCCCCGGAGGGGGGGCUUAAUCCCCCGAAAAAUCAGUUCCCAUGUUCGGAGUUGGGAGGUUGGGGAACUUGGAA